ACGAGCACGUGUUCAUUCCUUGUUCGAAAGAUCUGGGUAAUCAUGUUAAACUCUGUCGUGCUGGGGAUAGAGCAUUGCAAUUAUUGCUCUUCAACGAGGAAUUCCUAGUAAGCGCAAGUCAUCAGCUUGCGCUGAUUACGU
rnacentral:rRNA from 1 species